ACGAUGUUUAUUGAACUUUGUUAACAAAAAAAAAAAAAAAAAUUACAAUUCACCAAAUGGAUUCGACCCGACACGAAAAAAGUCCAUCAAAAUUAGGUUUAAGACAUUGCCUUUUUCCGUUUCCCUGCUCUGAUACACUGUCUUCUCCAAAAAUAAUGAAAUGGCCAUCGUCGCUUCUUCCUUCACUGCCAGAUCUUUAUUUCGAUAAUCCUUUAUUUCUUGGCAUCGCCAACAAGCUCGGCUCCCAAGCAAAAGCUACUUGAUUUCCCAUCGAUUUUUGGAAAUCGAAACAAAUAUGUGUCUGUUUUUUGAAAUCGAAGUAUUUGCUAGUUUGAAACGGUAAAUAUGUUUUUGUCUUUGAAAUCGAAGGCUACUUGUUGCGUGGUUUAAGAAAAACUUUGCAAGGCAAUUAUACCACUGAUCCCAUUUCCGUCACUUCUCUUACUCUCAACCGCAAAGCCAUUUCUGAUGUAAUUCCUUUUUCUGUACAUUUUGAUUUUUUCACUUUUGCUUGUUUAAAUUUCUCAUCGAUUUUUUUUUUUUUUUUUUUAACAGGUUUCGUGCUUGAGUGAGUUCAAGAAUUUGGAAAGGCUAGAUCUUAGUUUCAACAAUUUAACUUCACUUGAGCUAGUAAUACUUAAACGUAUUUUUGUGUAAAGCUCUGUAUAGGUAGUAUUUUGGGGGGGUGGGGGGACCAUUUGAUGUAUCCGAGAUUUCUUUUAUUAAUUUGUACAUUUUUUUUAAAUUCAAGGUUUGAAGUCUUAUGUGAAUUUGAAGUGGUUAUCAGAUUUGCAGAACAAGAUCGAGAACUUGAAACGGAUUGAGGGCCUCAAUAAACUAACUGAAAGUAGCACAAAUCACCACACAACCAUAUUUUAUAUUUUUUUUUUCCUUGUUGAGUUUUACAUAUUUGAAGCUUUCAAGAGCUUUAUUUAAUUGCUGAAAUUUGAAUUCUAUUCAGAGUAUAACUAGGAUUUGGCUUUCAUCAGUAAUGAAGCUAUUGGUUGGAGGACUUGGAUUUCAGAGCCUUCCAGUCGCUGUAAAUGCUAACAUUUCAUCAAGUGCAAGUACGUGAAUUUGACGACAAUAAUUAGAAUCUGAUGCUGCCUUUUAUCAUCACAUACAUGGUAUUAAAGUUAAAUUUCAUUUCUAGCGUUAAUAUAUACAAUCCAUUGUUGAACAGAAUCAUCAUAUUUGAAUUGAGAAAUUGAGUUGAUUGUUAUCCUUCAUCUAGUCUCCAAUUUUAUUUGCUAUGAAAGUUAAUGAAAACUUUUUGUUAUUCACAGGAAUUGAAAGCUUUGAUGUAUGAGGAUUUUCUUAAAUCAAACAGAGUUUCAAAGGGCUUUCUAAGAAAUUUAAUUUUAUCAAGAAGUUUCAUCAUUUAUCCUUAACCUUAUUUUCUAUUAUUGGAAGUGUUUUUUUUUUUUUUUUUUUUUUUGGAAAAUUUACUCAGAAGAUUGAGUGAUCUUGAUCCUGAUGUUUAAUUCGUCUAGCUAUAUGUUAGGCAACAUUCUUCUACCCAAAAUUAAGCCACCUCUAGUAUAAUUGGUUUUAUAUACUUUGCUUGAUGAUAAUGUAAAAUGAGGACAAAAAAUGUUGAAUUAUCUUUAUUUUCUUCUACUGAUUUUUAUUCAUGAUGAACAGUUACUUUCUUUGCAUUCUUAUAAGUACAAGUUUCAUAACUUCAAAGUUACUGACAUGUCAUAUACCCUCACUGAAAUGGGAUUCAAGUCUUUUGUGGUUUACUAGGCAAGUAUUCAAUGCUAGAAAAAACAAGAUCAAGUCAAUAUGUAUUUGUUUUUUGAAAUCGAAGUAGUUGCUAGUUUGAAACGGUAAAUAUGUUUUUGUCUUUGAAAUCGAAGGCCACUUGUUGCGUGGUUUAAGAAAAACCUUGCAAGGCAAUUAUACCACAGAUCCCAUUUCCGUCACUUCUCUUACUCUCAACAGCAAAGCCAUUUCUGAUGUAAUUCCUUUUUCUGUGCAUUUGGAUUUUUUUCACUUUUGAUUGUUUAAAUUUCUCAUCGAUUUUUUUUAAUUUUUUUUUAACAGGUUUUGUGCUUGAGUGAGUUCAAGAAUUUGGAAUGGUUAGAUCUUAGUUUCAACAAUUUAACUUCACUUGAGCUAGUAAUACUUAAACGUUUUUUUGUGUGAAGCUCCGUAUAGGUAGUUUUUUUUUUUUUUUGGGGGGGGGGGGGGGGGGGGGGAACCAUUUGAUGUAUCCGAGAUUUCUUUUAUUAAUUUGUACUUUUUUUUUAAUUCAAGGUUUGAAGUCUUAUGUGAAUUUGAAGUGGUUAUCAGAUUUGCAGAACAAGAUCGAGAGCUUGAAACGGAUUGAGGGCCUCAAUAAACUAACUGAAAGUAGCACAAAUCACCACACAACCAUAUUUUAUAUUUUUUUUUCCUUGUUGAGUUUUACAAAUUUGAAGCUUUCAAGAGCUUUAUUUAAUUGCUGAAAUUUGAAUUCUAUUCAGAGUAUAAAUAGGAUUAGGAUUUCAUCAGUAAUGAAGCUAUUGGUUGGAGGACUUGGAUUUCAGAGCCUUCCGGUCACUGUAAAUGCUAACAUUUAUCAAAUGCAAGUACGUGAAUUAGACGACAAUAUUUAGAAUUUGAUGCUGCCUUUUAUCAUCACAUACAUGGUAUUAAAGUUAAAUUUCAUUUCUAGCCAUUAAUAUAUACGAUCCAUUGUUGAACAGAAUCAUCAUAUUUGAAUUGAGAAAUUGAGUUGAUUGUUAUCCUUCAUCUAGUGUCCAAUUUUAUUUACUGUGAAAGUUAAUGAAAACCUGCUGUUGUUCAUAGGAAUUGAAAGCUUUGAAGUAUGAGGAUUUUCUUAAAUCAAACAGAGUUUCUAAGGGCUUUCUAAGAAAUUUAAGGAAAAUUUACUCAGAAGAUUGAGUGAUCUAGAUCCUGAUGUUUAACUCAUCUAGCUAGAUGUUAGUCAACAUUCUUCUACCCAAAAUUAAGCCACCUCUAGUAUAAUUGGUUUUAUAUACUUUGCUUGAUGAUAAUGUAAAAUGAGGACAAAAAAUGUUGAAUUAUCUUUAUUUUCUUCUACUGAUUUUUAUUCAUGAUGAACAGUUACUUUCUUUGCAUUGUUAUAUGUACAAGUUUCAUAAAUUCAAAGUUACUGACAUGUCAUAUACCCUC
rnacentral:lncRNA from 1 species